rnacentral:rRNA from 1 species
GGCCAGACUCCUACGGGAGGCAGCAGUGGGGAAUAUUGCACAAUGGGGGAAACCCUGAUGCAGCAACGCCGCGUGAGUGAAGAAGUAUUUCGGUAUGUAAAGCCCUAUCGGCAGGGAAGAGACAGACGGUACCUGACUAAGAAGCCCCGGCUAACUACGGGCCAGCAGCCGCGGUAAUACGUAGGGGGCAAGCGUUAUCCGGAUUCACUGGGUGUAAAGGGAGCGUAGACGGCGACGCAAGUCUGGAGUGAAAGCCCGGGGCCCAACCCCGGGACUGCUCUGGAAACUGCGGCGCUGGAGUACGGGAGGGGCAGGCGGAAUUCCUGGUGUAGCGGUGAAAUGCGUAGAUAUCAGGAGGAACACCGGCGGCGAAGGCGGCCUGCUGGACUGCGACUGACGUUGAGGCCCGAAAGCGUGGGGAGCAAACAGGAUUAGAUACCCGCGUAGG